rnacentral:rRNA from 1 species
AUUAGCUAGUUGGUGAGGUAACGGCUCACCAAGGCAACGAUGUCUAGGGGUCCUGAGAGGGUUAUCCCCCACACUGGUACUGAGACACGGACCAGACUCCUACGGGAGGCAGCAGUAAGGAAUAUUGGUCAAUGGGCGCAAGCCUGAACCAGCCAUGCCGCGUGCAGGAAGACGGCCCUAUGGGUUGUAAACUGCUUUUGUCAGGGAAUAAACCUAUCUACGAGUAGAUAGCUGAAGGUACCUGAAGAAUAAGCAUCGGCUAACUCCGUGCCAGCAGCCGCGGUAAUACGGAGGAUGCAAGCGUUAUCCGGAUUCAUUGGGUUUAAAGGGUGCGCAGGCUGAUUAUUAAGUCAGGGGUGAAAUCUCUCGGCUCAACCGAGAAACUGCCUUUGAUACUGAUAGUCUAGAGUAUAGUUGAAGUUGGCGGAAUGUGUCAUGUAGCGGUGAAAUGCUUAGAUAUGACACAGAACACCGAUCGCGAAGGCAGCUAGCUAAGCUAUAACUGACGCUCAUGCACGAAAGCGUGGGGAUCAAACAGGAUUAGAUACCCUGGUAGUCCACGCUGUAAAC